GACGAACGCUGGCGGCGUGCCUAAUACAUGCAAGUAGAACGCUGAAGGAGGAGCUUGCUCUUCUGGAUGAGUUGCGAACGGGUGAGUAACGCGUAGGUAACCUGCCUGGUAGCGGGGGAUAACUAUUGGAAACGAUAGCUAAUACCGCAUAAGAGUAGAUGUUGCAUGACAUUUACUUAAAAGGUGCAAUUGCAUCACUACCAGAUGGACCUGCGUUGUAUUAGCUAGUUGGUGGGGUAACGGCUUACCAAGGCGACGAUACAUAGCCGACCUGAGAGGGUGAUCGGCCACACUGGGACUGAGACACGGCCCAGACUCCUACGGGAGGCAGCAGUAGGGAAUCUUCGGCAAUGGACGGAAGUCUGACCGAGCAACGCCGCGUGAGUGAAGAAGGGUGUCGGAUCGUAAAGCUCUGUUGUAAGAGAAGAACGAGUGUGAGAGUGGAAAGUUCACACUGUGACGGUAGCUUACCAGAAAGGGACGGCUAACUACGUG
rnacentral:rRNA from 1 species